UCUCGAAUUAAAAAGAGCUAAUAUUAUAUAUAUUUAAUUGUAGCAUAAAUUUUUAAAAUAUAAUAUUAGAAAUGAAACGUUAUUCGUUUUUUAAGAUAUCUAGUUUUUUAAGAAAUAAAUUUAAUUUAGUUUAUUAUAUAUAAUAUAUUAAAUUUUUAGUAUAUUAUUAUAAUAAUGUAAUAUUUUAAGGGAUAAGCUUUAAAAUAAAUUAUUAUAAUUUUCAUUUAGUUAAUAAAAAUUAGUAGGAUUGGAAAUGUUAAUCAAUAGUUUGUUAUAAUUAAUUUUUAUUAGAAUAAGAUUUAUAUGGAAUUUAGUUUUUUUAUUAAAAUAAUAUAUUUAAUAGGAAUUUAUAUGAAAUAAUGAUAGAAUUAGUAUAGUUUAUUGUAUAAUUAAAUUAAAGGAUAAAGGUUAUAUUAAGGAACUCGGCAAAUAUAUUUUUCGCCUGUUUAUUAAAAACAUGUCUUUUUGAGUAUAAUUUAAAGUCUGACCUGCCCAAUGAGGAGUUGAAUGGCCGCGGUAUUUUGACCGUGCAAAGGUAGCAUAAUCAUUAGUUUUUUAAUUGAAAGCUAGAAUGAAUGGUUGGACGAGAAAAUAACUGUCUCAAUUUAAUUGAAUUAGAAUUUUAUUUAUAAGUAAAAAAGCUUAUAUAAUUUUAAAAGACGAGAAGACCCUAUAGAGUUUUAUAUUUAUUUAUAUAAGUUAUUUUUAGUAUAUUUUAAUAUUUUAUAUAAAUAAGUAUUUUAUUGGGGCGAUAGAAAAAUUAAAAUAACUUUUUUUAUAUUAGUACAUUAAUAUAUGAAUAAAUGAUCCAAUAUUUUUGAUUAUAAGAUUAAAUUACCUUAGGGAUAACAGCGUAAUUUUUUUUUAGAGUUCUUAUCGAAAAAAGAGUUUGCGACCUCGAUGUUGGAUUAAAAUUAACUUUUGGUGCAGGAGCUAAAAGGUUAGGUCUGUUCGAC
rnacentral:rRNA from 1 species